rnacentral:rRNA from 1 species
UACGUAGGGGGCAAGCGUUGUCCGGAAUCAUUGGGCGUAAAGGGCGCGUAGGCGGCCACCGCAAGCCGACUGUGAAAUCUCCGGGCUUAACCCGGAAAGGUCAGCCGAUACUGCGGGGCUAGAGUGCAGAAGGGGCAACUGGAAUUCUCGGUGUAGCGGUGAAAUGCGUAGAUAUCGAGAGGAACACCUGCGGCGAAGGCGGGUUGCUGGGCUGACACUGACGCUGAUGCGCGAAAGCUAGGGGAGCGAACGGG